ACGGAGGGUGCAAGCGUUAUUCGGAAUUACUGGGCGUAAAGGGCGUGCAGGCGGGAGAGCAAGUCUGUUGUGAAAGCCCGGGGCUUAACCCCGGAAGGGCAUUGGAAACUGUUUUUCUUGAGUUCUGGAGAGGAAAGGAGUAUUCCCGGUGUAGGGGUGAAAUCCGAUAAUCUCGGGAGGAACACCAGUGGCGAAGGCGCCUUACUGGACAGCACCUGACGGUGAGACGCGAAAGCCUGGGGAGCAAACAG
rnacentral:rRNA from 1 species